UAGAGUUUGAUCUUGGCUCAGGAUGAACGCUAGCGGAAGGCAUAAUACAUGCAAGUCGAACGGGAUUAGUUGGGUAGCAAUAUCUGACUAUGAGAGUGGCGCACGGGUGCGUAACACGUAUGCAACCUACCUAAUACAGGAGGAUAGCCCCUCGAAAGAGGGAUUAAUACUCCAUAAUAUAUAGAAGAGGCAUCUCUUUUAUCUUAAAGCUCCGGCGGUAUUAGAUGGGCAUGCGUCCGAUUAGCUAGUUGGCGGGGUAAUGGCCCACCAAGGCUUCGAUCGGUAGGGGGUCUGAGAGGAUGUCCCCCCACACUGGUACUGAAACACGGACCAGACUCCUACGGGAGGCAGCAGUAGGGAAUAUUGGGCAAUGGACGCAAGUCUGACCCAGCCAUUCCGCGUGCAGGAUGAAGGCCCUAUGGGUUGUAAACUGCUUUUGUCAGAGAAAAAACCCUCAUACGUGUAUGAGGCUGAUGGUAUCUGGCGAAUAAGCAUCGGCUAACUCCGUGCCAGCAGCCGCGGUAAUACGGAGGAUGCAAGCGUUGUCCGGAUUUAUUGGGUUUAAAGGGUGCGUAGGCGGAUAAUUAAGUCAGUGGUGAAAGUUUGCGGCUCAACCGUAAAAUUGCCAUUGAAACUGAUUGUCUUGAGUACAGUUGAGGUGGGCGGAAUGUAUCAUGUAGCGGUGAAAUGCUUAGAUAUGAUACAGAACGACCUAUUGCGAAAGCAGCUCGCUUAACUGUAACUGACGCUGAGGCACGAAAGCGUGGGGAUCAAACAGGAUUAGAUACCCUGGUAGUCCACGCUGUAAACGUUGAAUACUCGAUGUUGGCGAUAUACAGUCAGCGUCCAAGAGAAAUCGUUAAGUAUUCCACCUGGGGAGUACGACCGCAAGGUUGAAACUCAAAGGAAUUGACGGGGGCCCGCACAAGCAGAGGAGCAUGUGGUUUAAUUCGAUGAUACGCGAGGAACCUUACCUGGGCUUGAAAGUUAGUGACAGGCGCUGAAAGGCGCUCUCCCUUCGGGGCACAAAACUAGGUGCUGCAUGGCUGUCGUCAGCUCGUGCCGUGAGGUGUUGGGUUAAGUCCCACAACGAGCGCAACCCCUAUCUUUAGUUGCCAUCAGGUAAUGCUGGGGACUCUAAAGAGACUGCCUACGCAAGUAGUGAGGAAGGUGGGGAUGACGUCAAGUCAUCAUGGCCCUUACGUCCAGGGCUACACACGUGCUACAAUGGUCGCUACAAAGGGUUGCCACUUAGCAAUAAGGCGCCAAUCCCUAAAAAGCGGUCUCAGUUCAGAUUGAGGUCUGCAACUCGACCUCAUGAAGCUGGAUUUGCUAGUAAUCGAAGAUCAGCAAUGCUUCGGUGAAUACGUUCCCGGGCCUUGUACACACCGCCCGUCAAGCCAUGGGAGAUGGGAGUACCUAAAGUCGAUAACCGUAAGGAGUCGCCUAGGGUAAUACCGUUGACUAGGGCUAAGUCGUAACAAGGUAGCCGUAG
rnacentral:rRNA from 1 species